ACAGACUUUGUGAAGGAUUCACCAACCUUUAUAGCAUGAAGGGAGGGAGCUACCAUGUCUGGGCAAUUUAUCUAUGAGAAGACUUUCUCUAAUGUGCUCUUCUACCCUCUGCCUGUUUUAGUAGAUGCUCAGGAAAUGAAGGAUUCUGUUAAAAGCCCAGACUACAUAGAAAGACUGGCACGUAAAUACAUGGUAACUUUUUUUCUAAUUGUUGCUUCUCUAUCUCCCUAUUAAAAUAAAAGUUAGAAAGUGUUAGUUGCUUUGUCAUUAGCCUGAUAGUGCAGCUAGCUGUGCUGGAAAAGAAUGCAUGAAGAACAGGUGUGAAUGAAUUAAUUCAAAUGGUGUCACCUGCAAAGAAACAAGGAGGGAGGAAGCUAUUCCACUUCUGUGCUACCACCUGGGGAAUAAGGGGGCUAUUUGUUCAUAAGGUUUCUGUAGCAAGAGCUUUAGAAAAAAUGAGCAUAUAGUUUUAGCCAUUUACCUGCUGUUACAUUUCUGAGGUGUGGGCCCACCCAAAGCAAAGAAGCAAAAAAACCUCAGUGCAAAUCAAAAAACGUUUUGUAAAGUUAUUUACAGACUUGGAGUAACUGUUUGUGGUAAAUGCAAGGGAUGUUCUGGAUAGCUUCCCAUUGUAUUUUUGGGGGGAGACAGGGGGAAGACUUCUAUUUUUCCCUUAUGUCUCACUUGCACAACCCAACCAGCACCACAAAUGUGGGAUAUUUGGAAGGACAAGCUGGCUUCAGAUGGGAAAGCUUUGGAGAAACACAGCAUCUACAGUUUGUACAAGAACUUCAGCUUCAACCCGAAGCUGUGGUAACUUCUGCUUUGAGUAGUGUUUCUUUCCCUUCCUCCUCUGCAGCAGAAGUGCAUAGUAGAGUCGAGUACGGAGUCUGAGUCUGAAUCCAGCACAGAGGUCAUGCCCAGCCCACUUGCUGGAGGACUCAAGAAAGCAAGGGACUCCAGGAGACUGCAAUUUUCAGAUCCUUAUGAUGGUGAUUCAGAAGAUGCAUCCAUUCACUCUGACUGUAGCUUGAAUUCUUUAAAUAGUGUAAAAGUUGCACCAUGGGUGAACAAUGCCCCAAAAGCAAUGGCCU